CCCUAAAAAUAACACAACGUUUUACGACCUCUUCGUUCAUUCAUUGAGUCCAAAAAGUGCAGCUCAGCUUGCUAUCACAUGUCCAUGUGUGCGUGGACUGUAACUCCGGGGGCUCGUGUCCCGCCGAGGAGGUGAACGCCCAGUAGGGCGCCCAGCGGCGACCACAGUCCGCACCGAUGCCUCUGACGCCCCAAACUGUUGAUUCAGUCAUCCAGGAGUCAACAGUUCCCACCAGAGGGGGGGGGGGGGGCGGCAGGAUGGAGGGACGGGGGAGAGGAAGUGCAAUGGUGUCGAACGAUUGCAUGGGGCCCGAGCCGGUGACCCGCCGUAGUGAUUUGAACGCUGGCAGACGUUUGCGUUUGUGAACGAUGCAAAGUUAUGAGCCAAUAAGGUCUGUUGCAUGUGCAUGAACGGGUCUGUAGCUUCCGCUCACUCGCACAUCUUAAGGUGUCAGAGCCGUCUGAUCACUAACAGUGGGAUGUUUCCUUCGCAGUGCGAUCGUCUUGCAAGGAAACGUCUCACACUUCUCUGCGGCACGGUCCGCGGGACGGCGUGACGGAGAGUUCGACACCUUUUUGCUUUGCUGGAUUGUCGAGAUGCACGUUAACGUUGUGAAUCCGUCUACAACAAGUAUUGUUUGUAGUGGUGUUGAUUUUUACUGCACUUCUCCUUUCACCUUUCACAUCUGCUCUUUCCUCUCUUUCCCCUCCUGGCCUGUUUGGUCCUGUCCUCAGUAUGCGCUGUGUGUGUGUGUGUGUGUGUGUGUGUGUGUGUGUGUUGACUUUCAACCUGGCUCAGCGUCACGGUGCCCACCAGCAGCUGUCUGCGCAACGUGUCAUUAUGUGGAUUACGCUCCUCCGGGCUCCACCUUAAUGAGAGGGAGGCGAUGAAAGGCAGCAUCUUGAUGGCGCUGGCCUCCACCAUCGGACACACGGCGCGCACACACACACACGCACACACACACACACAAAAACUCUCCCCCACGCAAUCGCAAGAGGGCAUCUUCCUCUUCAGCCAAGCGCCUGUUUAUGUCAGACCUUCACUGUGGGAAAAGCAAUGAGUGGAGGCUGGUGUGUUGACGCACUAUCCAUAGCGGUUUGCAUGUCAUUAUGUGCGGGCGUUUCAGAGCGCCGUGCUCCCCGAGGCGUUACACUUGUUUGUGGUCAAGAGCGACGGAUAAAAGAAAAAAAUGGCGGCCCGCCACACAUCUCGGUCUGGUGUUUCACAUCGGCUCGUUCCACGGCCGUCACGAACGCCGGCGAGGGCUUGUGUUUUUACUUGGUGCCUGUGGGACAGUUCAGGCUCGAAGACGUUCCGUCUAAAACUACUGGAGGUGUUUGUAUUGUGUGUAUAUUAUAAGGCUUCAGGAGUAACGUGUUCACCCAUCCAUUAAAUAAAUAUAUACAUGAAUACAAGAACCUCAAUGUGCCGUCAAUCCUCAAGAUCCAGCUGUUACAUUGUGCUCACCAGAUGUGAAGCAGAUGUGUAACACAUCACUGAAACAUGUGCAGUCCAAUGCAGUCAUUUCCCUCAGAGAAGAUUUCUGUUUGCUAACGCACACAAAUAUUUCAUGUUCAUAAAGACACGAGAGGCUAGUGUUAGUGUGUUGUUUUUGUGUACAUUAGAAGUGUCAGUGUGUUGUUUUUGUGUACAUUAGAAGUGUCAGUGUGUUGUUUUUGUGUACAUUAGAAGUGUUAGUGUGUGGUUUUUGUGUACAUUAGAAGCGUUAGUGUGUUGUUGUUGUGUACAUUAGAAGUGUCAGUGUGUUGUUGUUGUGUACAUUAAAAGCGUCAGUGUGUUGUUUUUGUGUAGAAGCGUCAGCGUGUUGUUUUUGUGUAGAAGUGUCAGUGUGUUGUUUUUGUUUAGAAGUGUCAGUGUGUUGUUUUUGUGUAGAAAUGUCAGUGUUGUGUUGUUGUGUACAUUAGAAGUGUUAGUGUGUUGUUUUUGUGUACAUUAGAAGUGUCAGUGUGUUGUUGUUGUGUACAUUAGAAGUGUUAGUGUGUUGUUUUUGUGUACAUUAGAAGUGUUAGUGGGUUGUUGUUGUGUACAUUAGAAGUGUUAUUGUGUUGUUUGUGUUGUCUUGUCUAUUAUUAGGAGUAUAAACAGGAUGCCGUGUCGUGAUGAGGACGGAUUUAUUUGUGUGUUCUGCUGACAAUCACAACGUGUGAUCUUCUCACCAGCGUUCAGCGGAGACGACGUGACGAUGAAAUCACAGCCGAUGAUGGAGUCUGACGUCUCUUCGCGUCUCCAUCAGCUGGGGCUCUUCUUCGCGUUCACCAGCGUGAACGCUGUUAACGCUGCGACCCGAAGUUCCAGAGCGUCGAUUCAAUGAAGAUGGAAAAUAUCAGAGAGGCCACGAGCGGAACGUUUCUCCUUCUUCUCGCACGGCCACUUGUUGCACUGAAGGAUUUAAUACAUCCAUCGAUGUGUUUAGUAAGUGUCUGUUUCGUAACGCUCGACCCAACAGGGAGGGACGCACGCCUGAAGGAAGGUCAAUGGGGGAGGCGAGGGGGGAGUCG
ensembl:lncRNA